UACUCCUACGGGAGGCAGCAGUAGGGAAUCUUCCGCAAUGGGCGAAAGCCUGACGGAGCAACGCCGCGUGAGUGAUGAAGGUCUUCGGAUCGUAAAACUCUGUUAUUAGGGAAGAACAUAUGUGUAAGUAACUGUGCACAUCUUGACGGUACCUAAUCAGAAAGCCACGGCUAACUACGUGCCAGCAGCCGCGGUAAUACGUAGGUGGCAAGCGUUAUCCGGAAUUAUUGGACGUAAAGCGCGCGUAGGCGGUUUUUUAAGUCUGAUGUGAAAGCCCACGGCUCAACCGUGGAGGGUCAUUGGAAACUGGAAAACUUGAGUGCAGAAGAGGAAAGUGGAAUUCCAUGUGUAGCGGUGAAAUGCGCAGAGAUAUGGAGGAACACCAGUGGCGAAGGCGACUUUCUGGUCUGUAACUGACGCUGAUGUGCGAAAGCGUGGGGAUCAAACAGGAUUAGAUACCCUGGUAGUCCACGCCGUAAACGAUGAGUGCUAAGUGUUAGGGGGUUUCCGCCCCUUAGUGCUGCAGCUAACGCAUUAAGCACUCCGCCUGGGGAGUACGACCGCAAGGUUGAAACUCAAAGGAAUUGACGGA
rnacentral:rRNA from 1 species